ACCUCAUGGUUUGGACAUUGCAUUAGUUUUCCGUUAAAUCUUUCCCAUACUUCAUAAAAAUUAUCUCCAUUCAAUUGCAUAUAAUUGAUGAUUUCAUAUCUCAAUU
rfam:Capsicum annuum cultivar Zunla-1 chromosome 6, whole genome shotgun sequence